GCCGCAGCGUGUGGCCCGAAUCGAUACCGCAACGGUUUCCUAAACCGUGUGUCGCAGGUUCGAUUCCUGCCGGGGGCA
rnacentral:tRNA from 1 species